rnacentral:lncRNA from 1 species
AUGAUCUACCAGCAGCAGCCACUGCAAACACCAGGUGACAUUUCCAAGGUGAUAGGCUCUGUAUGUGUAACUAAGCCCUGCCAUAGGCUGCUACCAAAGACUUUCCAGGACGCCAGUGAAGUGACCAAAGUAGAUGCUAAUGCACUGUCUCAAGGUUUGUUUGCUGGUAUCAUACAGGACCUGCUUUUGUUAUCACCUCAGAUGCAUGUGUUUUUAAUGAUAAUAUUCUGAGAUUCAGAUAUGUUUGAAUUUACAUAAACUGGACAAUGAAUGUGAUAGAUAUAACUGCCUUGUAUUCACUGCACAAUGAAAGCAUGCAUGUGGGUAGACACUACAAAGCAGUAAAUUUGCUGUAAAUCCACACUUAACCUCCCAGGUGGAACCUGUUUGCGUAGCUAUAUCUAAGGGUUGUCAUGACUUAGAAUAAUAAUAGCUAUAGUUGUUCUUUUCAUAUAUCCACAGCAUUUGUUGGUCUCUGAGCUUGCUGUAUACAUUUUUUUUCACAAUUGCUAUCUAUCUUUAAAGUUUUUCUUUCUCCUUGUACAGAAUGUGUCACAUACAAACCAGGUUGCAUUCUUUUCAUACAGUAUUGAAUUACACACCCAUGGGCAUUGUAAUAAAAUAUAUAUAUAUAUAUAUAUAUUUUUUUUU